GAUUGCCACCACUAAAGAAAGCAGACAUCCACCACUGAGUGCUUUGUGUUAACAAAAUUUUCCACCAUUCUUUGUGUUUGCAUACUUGAAUAAUUAAACAUGGUCCUUUGUCUUCUUGUUCACUACAUCACUUUUGACUACUGUUUCAAGCUGUGAUUCAAUUGCAUUUUUUUGUCUCUUUUCAGAAUAAAGGUGCGGCAUGAAGGCUUUGAUUCAUUCUUUGAAUCAUGCCUUAAUUACAAAGAUUCUUGAUUCUUUAUUUUUCGCAUAUGAAGAAAAUUUACAGCAGCCAUAUAUGUCGCACCAAUUUUUUAUUUUUUUUUAUCUCAAUAGCUGCCCCCUCAUCGAAUUGGUUUUGUGAUUUUUUUUUGGUUUCAACAACAGCCAUAUAUGUUUAUGUUGAUCAUUGUCUCAGACUCAGGGUUAUUGCUGCUGCUAGAAUAACGUCAUAAAAUGCACUAUGUGUCUACUUCAAAUCAUUUUGCUUGAUAUUCUUUCCUCGUGAUUUCAGGUUCAUGCCGUAUUGAAGGAGCUGGCUCAGAAGUCUUUCAAUGUGACCUUGCUAUGUUCUUGAAUAUAGUGAAUUUACCUAAGAGGAUAGCUAUUAGUUAUUCAUUAUAUCCUAAAUUUGUUUAAUCUAUUAUUUUUAAUGGGAUGUUUUCCCUGUGGUGUGUAGGAAUUAAAGCAGUAUCCCACUUUAAGAGUGGAAGUUCAGAAUGCAAGAUUUGAAUCGCUGGAUAGGAUGAAAGAAGAGAGCAAGGAAGCAACUAUGCAGCUAGUUGAUAUGGAGUGUGGUUACCUCACAGUUGAAUUUUUCCGCAAUCUUCCUCAGGAUAUUGAAAAGGGGGGAAAUCCGACACACUCACUUUUCGACAGAUAGAACGAUUCCUACCUCCGGCGGGUUGGGCAUUCCUUCUCAACCUAACAAGGAGUGCGGGUACUUUAUCAUGUGCUACAUGAGAGAUAUCAUUGAGGAUAAAGACAUGUCAUUGUUUCUUUCCAAGUGGGAGAGGCCGGAGAGACAGCGGCUAAUACACCCAAGCAGAUAUUGAUCAAGUGCGAAAUGAAUAGGGGAAGUUUGUUGUCAACACGUAUGUGCAUGAGCCAUGAAGUAGCGCGCUUGUUGCUGAUCCGUUUUUGCUAAGGAAAGCAUCUUUUUUGUGCUUCGCUGUUGGCCCAUUGUCAUGCACCAUGUGUGGCAUGUUUUGAAAAAAUAGAUACAUAUGUAUCAGCUUUUUGAUGUCCUAAGUAGAUGGGCAGGCACUAAAUGCUUUUCUUGUUUAAAUGUUGCGUUCAAUGAUUAGUGGUUUGCAAUGUUUAUA